rnacentral:rRNA from 1 species
AUGAACGCUAGCUACAGGCUUAACACAUGCAAGUCGAGGGGCAGCAUGAACUUAGCUUGCUAAGUUUGAUGGCGACCGGCGCACGGGUGAGUAACACGUAUCCAACCUGCCGAUGACUCGGGGAUAGUCUUUCGAAAGAAAGAUUAAUACCCGAUGGCAUAGUUCUUCCGCAUGGUAGAACUAUUAAAGAAUUUCGGUCAUCGAUGGGGAUGCGUUCCAUUAGGUUGUUGGCGGGGUAACGGCCCACCAAGCCUUCGAUGGAUAGGGGUUCUGAGAGGAAGGUCCCCCACAUUGGAACUGAGACACGGUCCAAACUCCUACGGGAGGCAGCAGUGAGGAAUAUUGGUCAAUGGACGAGAGUCUGAACCAGCCAAGUAGCGUGAAGGAUGACUGCCCUAUGGGUUGUAAACUUCUUUUAUACGGGAAUAAAGUGAGGCACGUGUGCCUUUUUGUAUGUACCGUAUGAAUAAGGAUCGGCUAACUCCGUGCCAGCAGCCGCGGUAAUACGGAGGAUCCGAGCGUUAUCCGGAUUUAUUGGGUUUAAAGGGAGCGUAGGCGGACGCUUAAGUCAGUUGUGAAAGUUUGCGGCUCAACCGUAAAAUUGCAGUUGAUACUGGGUGUCUUGAGUACAGUAGAGGCAGGCGGAAUUCGUGGUGUAGCGGUGAAAUGCUUAGAUAUCACGAAGAACUCCGAUUGCGAAGGCAGCUUGCUGGACUGUAACUGACGCUGAUGCUCGAAAGUGUGGGUAUCAAACAGGAUUAGAUACCCUGGUAGUCCACACAGUAAACGAUGAAUACUCGCUGUUUGCGAUAUACAGUAAGCGGCCAAGCGAAAGCGUUAAGUAUUCCACCUGGGGAGUACGCCGGCAACGGUGAAACUCAAAGGAAUUGACGGGGGCCCGCACAAGCAGUGGAGUAUGUGGUUUAAUUCGAAGCAACGCGAAGAACCUUACCAGGUCUUGACAUCCGAUGCAUAGCUUAGAGAUAAGUGAAGUCCUUCGGGACAUCGAGACAGGUGGUGCAUGGUUGUCGUCAGCUCGUGUCGUGAGAUGUUGGGUUAAGUCCCGCAACGAGCGCAACCCUUAUCCUAUGUUACCAGCACGCAGCGGUGGGGACUCAUAGGAGACUGCCAGGGAUAACCUGGAGGAAGGCGGGGAUGACGUCAAGUCAUCAUGCCCCUUAUGUCUUGGGCUACACACGUACUACAAUGGCUAUAACAAAGAGAAGCGAGACCGCGAGGUGGAGCAAAACUCAAAAAAGUAGUCUCAGUUCGGAUUGUAGACUGAAAUUCGUCUACAUGAAGCUGGAAUUGCUAGUAAUGGCAGGUCAGCAUACUGCCGUGAAUACGUUCCCGGGCCUUGUACACACCGCCCGUCACACCACGAAAGUUGGUAACACCCGAAGCCGGUGAGAUAACCUUUUAGGAGUCAGCUGUCUAAGGUGGGGCCGAUGAUUGGGGUG